rnacentral:rRNA from 1 species
CCUACGGGAGGCAGCAGUGGGGAAUCUUGCGCAAUGGGCGAAAGCCUGACGCAGCAACGCCGCGUGCGGGAUGAAGGCCUUCGGGUUGUAAACCGCUUUCAGCAGGGAAGAAAUUGACGGUACCUGCAGAAGAAGCCCCGGCCAACUACGUGCCAGCAGCCGCGGUAACACGUAGGGGGCGAGCGUUGUCCGGAUUUAUUGGGCGUAAAGAGCUCGUAGGCGGUUCGGUAAGUCGGGUGUGAAACCUCCAGGCUCAACCUGGAGACGCCACCUGAUACUGCUGUGACUAGAGUCCGGUAGGGGAGUGUGGAACUCCUGGUGUAGCGGUGAAAUGCGCAGAUAUCAGGAAGAACACCAGCGGCGAAGGCGGCACUCUGGGCCGGUACUGACGCUGAGGAGCGAAAGCGUGGGUAGCAAACAGGAUUAGAUACCCUGGUAGUCCACGCCGUAAACGUUGGGCACUAGGUGUGGGUCUCAACCAACGAGAUCCGUGCCGCAGCUAACGCAUUAAGUGCCCCGCCUGGGGAGUACGGCCGCGAAGGCUAAACUCAAAUGAAUUGACGG